UUGGUAGGAGGAGAAACAAGAUGGCUGAAGAGAAGCAUCCAGCAAUCGUUCCCCUUGCAGGAACACCAAAUUGAACAACUGUCUACACAAGAAAGCAUCUUCAUGACCAAAAAUCAAGCUAGCAACUACAGUGUAUGCCUUUAACCUCAUGUCAAGGAAACAGGUAUGAAAGAAGGAUCAAAUCCACUAAGAGAAUCAAGAACUGCUGCACAGAAACCUUUGAUAGCCAAUGUCCUAAUACGAAGAAGAAGUAAAUGAACAGAAGGAGACAUAGACUCAAAGCUCUCGCAAAAUUGAACAAUAUAUCAAGGCCCUACAUUGACCAAACAUUAACAUUAAAAGAGCCUCUGCAUGUCAGCAUUCCAGCCAGCCCAAAUCGUCAAAGAGCAAGAAAGCAAUGCUGAAGAACAAUGUGAAGGAAUCAUUACAUACUGUUUGAAUAGUUUCCUAAAUUCACUCAGUGCUCUAUCUAUUAUUAGCUAUAGCACAGAGAACUCGUUUCCUAUUACAGAUGGUAGAGAAUUUCUAGUUUGCAUAAAAUCAACAUCCUCUAAAGUCCUGAAAAAAACAUAUGUUUGCAGACGCUUACCCAAAGAUAGCAACAGAACAUUCAUUAUUCAUUAGCUGUUUCAUUUCAAAUUUUUUAUGAUCUAUUUGCCAUAUUUCACUGAGUCUAAGAUCUUGUGGACAAAGUCGAUAGGUACUCUCUUUGUAACACAGUUAAGAUCAGACUUUAAGAUAGCAUGUUGUGUUGCUACAUGUAAGAGUUCUGUAAUCUAAUGCAAUAGAUGACAAAUAUUGGAAGCUAAGCAUAUGUGUUAUUUUUCUGCAUUUGUCAAUUACUAUUUUAGAGGAAAUAUUUAGGCUUUCCUUGCUCAUGUUCCUGACUUGGUCCACAGAGAACAAAUGUCCACAAAUAAUCUUGUCUUUACGGGAAUAUUAGAAAGAAACAAAUAACUUCUUUUUCAUUUUAUAGCUUUAAAAGCACAAGAAGAGGGAGGGUACUACUUCAUUCUCCAUGCAUGGCUUGAAUCAAGCUGGUUUACGGAUCUCUGCAUUGCACAUUAGGAGCAUCAUAUAUUGGUCAGAAUCCUGAUGGUGAAGUGAACAAUACAAAUUCAGGCCCCAGGCCUCACUCUCACACCUGACAAUUCUGUGUAUUUUGAAGCACUCCGAAAUCUUUAUGAGGGCAGACUUGCCCCAUACUAUUAUCAGGGAAGACUUAUCUUGCUUCUGGGUGCAAAAAUAGUUGUAAACUGUCAAAGCUAUUUAUCUUCUCAUGUCAACUCCCUGCUCAUUAUUAGGGGUUCAGGGAAAUGUCAUUUCUACUGAGAAAUGGUUUUUACAACCCAAAUCCAAAUCCAAUGCUCCUUUUUCUGUGAUCCCUUAACAAUUUUAAUCUUAUUAUAGCACUUAUCACAGCCUACCAGAUAGUUAUUAAAAUUAUUUGAGCAUGCAUCUUGCUCAUGGACUAGAAGUGAAUCCCUAGUGGUUAGAGAUUAGGUAACACUUAUUCAUGUAGCCUCCCACUUCUUAUAAAGUACAUCACGUUUGAAAAGUAUGGAAAGACUUCAAUCUUUAAGGCUUAUAUUUUUUAUUCUAGUUCGGAAAAGACAGUGUGCCCAACAUCAGUAAGUCAGGUAUUCUGGAGAUAUUUGCUACAUAGUCACAAAUAUAUCUAUCCAUUAUCAUAUGCACACAUACAUAUACACAAACAUACAUAUAUACGUUUGUGCAUGUGUCAAAUACACACACAAACACAUAAUCACAAAUACAACACUACAGGUAUCUUCCCUUUUCUUUUCACAAUUGUUGCUAGUAACUCAACCUCUAUUUCUUAAUAGAAAUUUAGACUACUUAAGGAAAGAAAAUUGUAGAGAUCAUAGAGAUCUACCAAGACCAUUAGUAUCAUAGCACAUGGUACAGAAAAAAGAAUUUGUGUUACCGGUCAACAGUGCUGGCUCAUCAUAAAGGCACAAAGACAAUUUGCUGAGCUGAGCUGAGCUUGGUUUCAAUGCUAUUACUUCAAUUCAUUUUCCCCUAAAGAUAGGGCUGUUUUUUUGCCUCUUUCAAUUGAACUUAUGUACAUAGAGAGUAGAAAAAUGGUUACCAGAGGCUGGGAAGGGAAGUGGGGGCACUGGGAAGGGGAGGCACAAAUGAUUAAUGGGUACAAAAACAAAAUAGAAAGAGUGAAUAAGACCUACUAUUUGAUAGCACAACAGGUUGACUAUAGUCAAGAAUAACUUAAUUGUAUAUUUUUAAAUAACUUAAAAAUGCAAUUGGAUUGUUUGUAACUCAAAGGAUAAAUGUUUG
rnacentral:lncRNA from 10 species